rnacentral:rRNA from 1 species
AUGGCAACUACCGCCUCACCCUCCACCACGACCACUCCCCGGUCCUUCCUCUCGUCGCCUUCCUUCUCACUCAGUGCUUGCAGGGCAUCGAAGUCGAACCACCUCCGGACGACGAGAAGGCUGCCCGUUAAUGUACGCUGCGCCAGUAGCUCUCCGGCCGCCGAUACAUCUUACACGACGAAGGUUUCGCGGAAUGCCAACAUAGCCAAGCUCCAAGCAGGCUAUUUGUUUCCCGAGAUUGCCAGAAGAAGGGCAGCUCAUCUGCUGAAGCAUCCUGACGCCAAAAUUAUAAGUCUGGGAAUAGGUGACACUACUGAGCCCAUUCCGGAGGUCAUAACAAAUGCCAUGGCAGAGAGAGCACAUGCUUUAUCCACAGUGGAUGGCUACAGUGGUUAUGGAGCUGAACAAGGUGAAAAGAAACUAAGGGCAGCAAUUGCUGCAACCUACUAUGCGGAUCUUGGUAUCGACGAAACCGAUAUAUUUGUCUCUGAUGGUGCAAAAUGUGACAUUUCUCGUCUACAGGUUCUUUUUGGAUCUAAAGUGAAGAUUGCAGUUCAAGACCCAUCAUAUCCCGCAUAUGUUGAUUCAAGUGUUAUCAUGGGGCAAACUGACUUAUAUCAGCAGGAUGUUCAGAAGUAUGGAAAUAUUGAAUACAUGAGAUGCAGUCCUGAAAAUGGAUUUUUCCCUGAUCUUUCCAAGGUCCCACGGACAGAUAUCAUAUUCUUUUGUUCACCCAACAAUCCUACUGGUGCUGCUGCAUCUAGGGACCAGCUAACACAGUUGGUCAAAUUCGCAAAGGACAAUGGGUCCAUAAUAGUCUAUGAUUCUGCUUAUGCCAUGUACAUAUCAGAUGACAGCCCAAAAUCCAUCUUUGAAAUUCCUGGGGCAAAGGAGGUUGCCCUCGAGACAGCGUCUUUCUCUAAAUAUGCUGGGUUCACUGGUGUCCGACUGGGUUGGACCGUGGUCCCUAAGGAGCUCCUUUUCUCUGAUGGGCAUCCAGUUGCUAAAGAUUUCAACCGCAUAGUCUGCACUUCCUUCAAUGGCGCAUCGACCAUCUCUCAGGCCGGUGGUUUAGGCUGCCUCUCUCCAGAGGGUCUAAAGGCUAUGCAAGACGUUGUCGGAUUCUACAAGGAGAACACCAAAAUCAUUGUUGACACGUUUGAGUCGCUCGGAUUCAACGUCUACGGUGCCAAGAAUGCCCCCUAUGUGUGGGUGCACUUCCCUGGCCGCAAUUCCUGGGAUGUCUUUGCAGAGAUCCUUGAGAAGGCAAACGUGGUCACUACUCCUGGCAGUGGAUUUGGGCCCGGUGGCGAGGGCUUUGUGAGGGUCAGCGCAUUUGGCCACAGAGAGAACAUUAUUGAAGCUGCGAGAAGACUGAAGCAGCUAUACAAAUAA